CGGUGGAGCAUGUGGUUUAAUUCGAAGCAACGCGAAGAACCUUACCAGGCCUUGACAUGCAGAGAACUUUCCAGAGAUGGAUUGGUGCCUUCGGGAACUCUGACACAGGUGCUGCAUGGCUGUCGUCAGCUCGUGUCGUGAGAUGUUGGGUUAAGUCCCGCAACGAGCGCAACCCUUGCCUUUAGUUGCCAGCAGUUCGGCUGGGCACUCUAAAGGGACUGCCGGUGUUAAACCGGAGGAAGGUGGGGAUGACGUCAAGUCCUCAUGGCCUUUAUGACCAGGGCUACACACGUACUACAAUGGCCGAUACAAAGGGCAGCGACACUGCGAGGUGAAGCCAAUCCCGUAAAAUCGGUCUCAGUCCGGAUUGGAGUCUGCAACUCGACUCCAUGAAGUUGGAAUCGCUAGUAAUCGUGGAUCAGCAUGCCACGGUGAAUACGUUCCCGGGCCUU
rnacentral:rRNA from 1 species